rnacentral:rRNA from 1 species
UGUCUUGUAAUUGGAAUGAUGGGAAUUUAAACCUCUUCCAGAGUAUCAAUUGGAGGGCAAGUCUGGUGCCAGCAGCCGCGGUAAUUCCAGCUCCAAUAGCGUAUAUUAAAAUUGUUGCAGUUAAAAAGCUCGUAGUUGAAUUUCUGCUGCAUUGCUUUUGCUCCUUUACGAGUCUUUGCAUUGUGGCUUAUUUCGGACUUUGUUUUACAAUGUCCGGAUGUUUACUUUGAGAAAAUUAGAGUGCUCAAAGCAGGCUUUCGCCUUGAAUAGUUUAGCAUGGAAUAAUAAAGUAGGACUUUGGUUCUAUUUUGUUGGUUUUAGGUACCAAAGUAAUGGUUAAUAGGAACAGUUGGGGGCAUUCGUAUUUAACUGUCAGAGGUGAAAUUCUUAGAUUUGUUAAAGACGAACUACUGCGAAAGCAUUUGCCAAGGAUGUUUUCAUUAAUCAAGAACGAAAGUUAGGGGAUCGAAGACGAUCAGAUACCGUCGUAGUCCUA